rnacentral:rRNA from 1 species
GACGAACGCUGGCGGCAUGCCUAAUACAUGCAAGUUGAACGAUGAUAUUUUCUGCUUGCAGAGAAUUGAAGAGUAGCGAACGGGUGAGUAACACGUGGGGAACCUGCCCAUGAGAGGGGGAUAACAUUCGGAAACGGAUGCUAAUACCGCAUAAUGCUUUGGACCGCCUGGUCCAGAGACGAAAGACGGCUUUUGCUGUCACUCAUGGAUGGCCCCGCGCCGUAUUAGCUAGUUGGUGAGGUAAUGGCUCACCAAAGCUGUGAUACGUAGCCGACCUGAGAGGGUGAUCGGCCACACUGGGACUGAGACACGGCCCAGACUCCUACGGGAGGCAGCAGUAGGGAAUCUUCCACAAUGGGCGAAAGCCUGAUGGAGCAAUGCCGCGUGAAUGAAGAAGGUCUUCGGAUCGUAAAGUUCUGUUAUUAGAGAAGAACAAGUCAAGGAGUAACUGUCGUGACUUUGACGGUACCUAACCAGAAAGUCACGGCUAACUACGUG